rnacentral:rRNA from 1 species
GACGAACGCUGGCGGCGUGCCUAAUACAUGCAAGUAGAACGCUGAAGGAAGGAGCUUGCUCUUUCUGGAUGAGUUGCGAACGGGUGAGUAACGCGUAGGUAACCUGCCUGGUAGCGGGGGAUAACUAUUGGAAACGAUAGCUAAUACCGCAUAAAAUUGAUUAUUGCAUGAUAGUCAAUUAAAAGGUGCAACUGCACCACUACCAGAUGGACCUGCGUUGUAUUAGCUAGUUGGUGGGGUAACGGCUCACCAAGGCGACGAUACAUAGCCGACCUGAGAGGGUGAUCGGCCACACUGGGACUGAGACACGGCCCAGACUCCUACGGGAGGCAGCAGUAGGGAAGCUUCGGCAAUGGACGGAAGUCUGACCGAGCAACGCCGCGUGAGUGAAGAAGGUUUUCGGAUCGUAAAGCUCUGUUGUAAGAGAAGAACGAGUGUGAGAGUGGAAAGUUCACACUGUGACGGUAUCUUACCAGAAAGGGACGGCUAACUACGUG